rnacentral:rRNA from 1 species
GACGAACGCUGGCGGCGUGCUUAACACAUGCAAGUCGAACGGAAAGGCCCUGCUUUUGUGGGGUGCUCGAGUGGCGAACGGGUGAGUAACACGUGAGUAACCUGCCCUUGACUUUGGGAUAACUUCAGGAAACUGGGGCUAAUACCGGAUAGGAGCUCCUGCUGCAUGGUGGGGGUUGGAAAGUUUCGGCGGUUGGGGAUGGACUCGCGGCUUAUCAGCUUGUUGGUGGGGGAGUGGCUUACCAAGGCUUUGACGGGUAGCCGGCAUGAGAGGGUGACCGGCCCCAUUGGGACUGAGAGACGGCCCAGACGGCUACGGGAGGCAGCAGUGGGGAAUAUUGCACAAUGGGCGGAAGCCUGAUGAGGCAACGCCGCGGGCGGGAUGACGGCCUUCGGGGUGUAAACCGCUUUCGCCUGUGACGAAGCGUGAGUGACGGUAAUGGGUAAAGAAGCACCGGCUAACUACGUG